AGCAGCCGCGGUAAUUCCAGCUCCAAUAGCGUAUAUUAAAGUUGUUGCAGUUAAAAAGCUCGUAGUUGAAUUUCGGGAUUGACGUGACGGUCGUGCCUUAAGGGGUAUGAACUGUCGCCGUUGAUUUCCCACCUUCUGGAGAAGCUCGAUGUCCUUAAUUGGAUGUCUUGUGGAACCAGGACCUUUACCUUGAAAAAAUUAGAGUGUUUAAAGCAGGCAUUUUGCUCGAAUACAUUAGCAUGGAAUAAUAGAAUAGGACGGCAUGGUUCUAUUUUGUUGGUUUCUAGGAUCACCGUAAUGAUUAAUAGGGAUAGUUGGGGGCAUUAGUAUUCAAUUGUCAGAGGUGAAAUUCUUGGAUUUAUUGAAGACUAACUACUGCGAAAGCAUUUGCCAAGGAUGUUUUCAUUAAUCAAGAACGAAAGUUAGGGGAUACGAAGACGAUCAGAUACCGUCGUAGUCUUAACCAUAAACUAUAGCCGACUAGGAAUCAGACGAUGUUAAUUUUUAAUG
rnacentral:rRNA from 1 species